ACGACCAUUGAAAAAUGUAAUAGAUAGUUAUAAUAUAAUAUAUUUAUUUUUUUAAUAGUUUUUUAAAGAUGUCGACGGAUUUAUUAAUGAACAAUGUUUUCAGUGAGGGAAACUGAACUACAUUUUCUUCAGAUGUUGGAGCAAUCUAUAAAACGGGCUUACGAGUCAUAUCAAAGAUACGAUCGACAGUCUUCUCAAGUACUCAACAUACCGGACUUAUAUACUCAUACUGGUGAACACAUGUAAGCUUUCUUGGAAAAGCCAACAAUAUAGUGUCUACAGUUAUUGUCACCUUUAAAUAAUUGUUUUUACGCUGAUUGUCGUUUAGUUUCAUCCUCUCAAUAUAAACAAUAACUAUAGAUUUGAUUAUAAAAAUCAGAAGU